GGAGCUAAUACCGGAUAAUAUUUUGAACCGCAUGAUUCAAAAGUGAAAGACGGUCUUGCUGUCACUUAUAGAUGGAUCCGCGCUGCAUUAGCUAGUUGGUAAGGUAACGGCUUACCAAGGCAACGAUGCAUAGCCGACCUGAGAGGGUGAUCGGCCACACUGGAACUGAGGCACGGUCCAG
rnacentral:rRNA from 1 species